rnacentral:lncRNA from 1 species
UGAGGUUUGGUUUGGGAGAGGAUGAGAAGAGAGGGGGGGGAGGGGGGGUGGGUGUGUUAGUAUGAGGUUUGGUUUUGGGAGAGAUGAGAAAGAGAGGAAGGAGGAGGACAGGGUGUGUUCUGUAUGAGUUUGGUUUGGGAGAGGAUGAGAAGAGAGGAGGAGGGGACAGGGGUGUUAGUAUGAGGUUUGGUUUGGGAGAGGAUGAGAAGAGAGGAGGAGGGGACAGGGGUGUUCAGUAUUGAGGUUGGUUGGGAGGGAUGAGAAGAGAGGAGGAUGGGGCCAGGUGGGGUGUUAGU